rnacentral:rRNA from 1 species
ACGCUUCUUUUUCCACCGGAGCUUGCUCCACCGGAAAAAGAGGAGUGGCGAACGGGUGAGUAACACGUGGGUAACCUGCCCAUCAGAAGGGGAUAACACUUGGAAACAGGUGCUAAUACCGUAUAACAAUCGAAACCGCAUGGUUUUGAUUUGAAAGGCGCUUUCGGGUGUCGCUGAUGGAUGGACCCGCGGUGCAUUAGCUAGUUGGUGAGGUAACGGCUCACCAAGGCCACGAUGCAUAGCCGACCUGAGAGGGUGAUCGGCCACAUUGGGACUGAGACACGGCCCAAACUCCUACGGGAGGCAGCAGUAGGGAAUCUUCGGCAAUGGACGAAAGUCUGACCGAGCAACGCCGCGUGAGUGAAGAAGGUUUUCGGAUCGUAAAACUCUGUUGUUAGAGAAGAACAAGGAUGAGAGUAACUGUUCAUCCCUUGACGGUAUCUAACCAGAAAGCCACGGCUAACUACGUGCCAGCAGCCGCGGUAAUACGUAGGUGGCAAGCGUUGUCCGGAUUUAUUGGGCGUAAAGCGAGCGCAGGCGGUUUCUUAAGUCUGAUGUGAAAGCCCCCGGCUCAACCGGGGAGGGUCAUUGGAAACUGGGAGACUUGAGUGCAGAAGAGGAGAGUGGAAUUCCAUGUGUAGCGGUGAAAUGCGUAGAUAUAUGGAGGAACACCAGUGGCGAAGGCGGCUCUCUGGUCUGUAACUGACGCUGAGGCUCGAAAGCGUGGGGAGCAAACAGGAUUAGAUACCCUGGUAGUCCACGCCGUAAACGAUGAGUGCUAAGUGUUGGAGGGUUUCCGCCCUUCAGUGCUGCAGCUAACGCAUUAAGCACUCCGCCUGGGGAGUACGACCGCAAUGUUGAAACUCAAAGGAAUUGACGGGGGCCCGCACAAGCGGUGGAGCAUGUGGUUUAAUUCGAA